rnacentral:rRNA from 1 species
GAACGCGAAGAACCUUACCAAGUCUUGACAUACUGUGAGGACACAAGAGAUUGUGUUGUUCUGACCUUUGGUUGGACACAGAUACAGGUGGUGCAUGGUUGUCGUCAGCUCGUGUCGUGAGAUGUUGGGUUAAGUCCCGCAACGAGCGCAACCCCUAUGUCUAGUUGCCAGCAGUAAGAUGGGGACUCUAGACAGACUGCCAGUGAUAAACUGGAGGAAGGCGGGGAUGACGUCAAAUCAUCAUGCCCCUUAUGACUUGGGCUACACACGUGCUACAAUGGAUAGGAACAAAGAGAAGCUAACUCGCGAGAGCAAGCAAACCUCAUAAAACUAUUCUCAGUUCGGAUUGUAGUCUGCAACUCGACUACAUGAAGCUGGAAUCGCUAGUAAUCGCGAAUCAGAAUGUCGCGGUGAAUACGUUCCCGGGUCUUGUACACACC